rnacentral:lncRNA from 1 species
ACCAAACUCUUGCCUGUUCUCACAACCAAACUACACUUGCCUCUGAGUCUCUGAAACAUUGGCUUUAUUGUGGACCUGGGUUCAAGCCGAAGAAAAGCUAUUGUGAGUCUUUGAAGGGGUCAUGGACUUCUCUAGGUCAAAAAUCUGAGGGCUGGGCGUGUGGUUCAUUCGUUUUACUGCUUGCCUAGUAUGCACAAAACACUACAUAAAUUCAGUACAGGCACAAGUCUGUAACCCCAGCAGUCAGACAGGAGGGUCACCAGUUCAAAGGCAUCUUUAGCUGUAGGGCAUAUUGAAGACCAGUCAGCAUGGGCUACAUUUGACUCUGUCUCAAAGACUGAAAUUUGAGUGUAGACCCCACACUCCAUCAUUCUUCCUGGCAAGACAAGCAAACAUUUAAAGAAAGGGAGCUUUAUCAGAGAGACAACUAAAAGAAGAGUAAACUGCGGGAUUAGUGCUCACCUCUCCACCACACCAGCUUUCACUCAGUCUCACAGUGCUGCCGGUGUAGGAAGGCACUCUUAAAGGUGAUUGACUCCCCACCCAGCUCUGUGAUUGGCCCUUGGGAUUCAAACCCACCCCUGAGAAAUUUGUCUCUAGGAAUGGGAUAGGUGGAGACUGAUCUCUCCUGAGCCCAUGCUGUUCCUACUCACACCAGUGGUUUGGAAUCUUGAUUGCUGUUAGACUUAUCUACUCCGGGGAAGGAGGUAUGUGCAAUUUCAUAGUGCUAAUGUCCUAAGAGUCUGUUUCUGGGUCCGGUGGCUGUCAAACAUUAAAGAGCCAUGAAAAUCAGAGGGAACUUGAGAAAGGGCAGGAUAAAAGAUGGUGAUGGUGGAAAAGAGUGACAAUUUUUGUGUUUCACUCAUAUAGGAACCAUAUAUAUAUAUAUAUAUGUAUAUAGUGUGUGCAUCAGGGGAAUGGGGCUUGUGGGUCAUGUUGCGCAUAGGUGGAGGUUAGACAUAAACCUGGGGUGUUGGGGGGAAGUUUUCUUCUUUUGUCGUGUGGGUCCUGGGAAUGAGGGAUUGAACUCAGUUGUCAGGUUGAGGGCAAACACCUUUACCUGCUGACCCAUCUCACUGGUCACACUAGCACACAUAUACCUUUAAGACAAACUUCUGGUUGGGUGUGGUAACACACACCUGUAAUUUCAGCAUUUCGUGAGCUGAUCUAAAGUUUAAGGUCAGCUGGACUACAAUCUGAGACCUUGAUAAAAAAAUUAGUCUUGGCUUUUGUGUGUGUGUAUGUUAGAGAGGAGGGAUGGAGAGAGGGGGAGGGAGGGGGAGAGGAGGGUGAAGGGGGGAUAGGGACUGGAACCUAGGGCUUCACACAUGUUAACAAGCAAUCUAUUACUGAGUCAUAAUCUACCCUUCAUUUUAUUUUUUUAUGUAUCCAUUUAUUUAUUAAGCUGCUGAAUUUUGUUUGGGAAUUCUGAGGAAUCACUUAGAGCCAGGAUCUGGAGCACGAUUCAGUCUGCCAUUAAAGAAGAAAUUUUGUAAAAAACGAAUGUUACUCUACGUGAUCCAAACUUUGCUUGUUCUGAAUGUUCUGCGAUUUAUUUGUGAGACAGGCUCUCACUAUGCAGCCCCCACUGUCCUAAAACUCACCAUGUAGAGCCGGCUGAUCUCAAGCACACCGAGAUCCACCUGCUGAUGUUUCCUGAGUGCUGGGAUAAAACACGUGCUCUGCCAUGCCCAAACCUGAGCGUUCCUCUAGACAAGGCCUUUCUUUGUAGUCUAAGCUCAUCUAAGCACACACUGUAGCUCAGGCUAGCCUCCAAUUCAUGGCAAUCCUCUUGCCUCAGCCUCCUGAGUGCAAGGCAUGAUUCAUCAUGCCAGCUUAGUUCUGAAACAUUUGCUCAGUUCUGCAAUGCUUUUGAACUUAAACUUAAACUUUUCAGUGAUUCAGUGAUCCGUUUUCCAUAUGCAUUUUUGAAAAGUUCGUACUUUUUGCUUUUGUGUUGGCAAUCAAUACUUUUACGUGGCAGGCAGGUUUGUGCUAUCUUUGAGUUACAUCCCAGGCCUCAGGUGAUCCCUUCUGUGGCAGAAUUAAGGAAGAGUGAACCUUAUUACUCUGUCAAAUCAAUUUGGCCCCUUUCAGAUAUUUCUUCUCUUUUGAGUCCUGAGUUUUUACAAAGUCAGGUGAACAACUUCAUCAUGUCCCUUUGGGAUCUUAGCAUGCAUGACUCCAUUUUGCUUUUAGCUUGGCUCAUUGGAAUCCAUGAUGAGUCUUAUGAAUUUUAUUUAACAAUUUAUUAUCCUUGUGUAGUUCUAUACACAAAGUCACAUUUAUGUGAGCAUAUGAUGUCCUUGGUGCAUACCUCAUAUAACCAACUGCCAUCUCAUUUAUUUCCAGACAAUUUUUCUUCCCAUUUAACCUCACUAGUACAUACAUGAGCUUAUACAGUUAUAAUGAAAACACAGGUUAAAUUCCCAUUAAUUUUCUUUAUAAGACUGAUAAAUUAAGUUAAUCUGGGUAUUUAUAGUUCUAUUUAUUUUCCUGC